AUUGAACGCUGGCGGCAGGCUUAACACAUGCAAGUCGAGCGGAGAUGAGGUGCUUGCACCUUAUCUUAGCGGCGGACGGGUGAGUAAUGCUUAGGAAUCUGCCUAUUAGUGGGGGACAACAUUCCGAAAGGAAUGCUAAUACCGCAUACGCCCUACGGGGGAAAGCAGGGGAUCUUCGGACCUUGCGCUAAUAGAUGAGCCUAAGUCGGAUUAGCUAGUUGGUGGGGUAAAGGCCUACCAAGGCGACGAUCUGUAGCGGGUCUGAGAGGAUGAUCCGCCACACUGGGACGGAGACACGGCCCAGACUCCCACGGGAGGCAGCAGUGGGGAAUAUUGGACAAUGGGCGGAAGCCUGAUCCAGCCAUGCCGCGUGUGUGAAGAAGGCCUUUUGGUUGUAAAGCACUUUAAGCGAGGAGGAGGCUACCUGGAUUAAUACUCUAGGAUAGUGGACGUUACUCGCAGAAUAAGCACCGGCUAACUCUGUGCCAGCAGCCGCCGUAAAAC
rnacentral:rRNA from 1 species